rnacentral:rRNA from 1 species
AUUGAACGCUGGCGGCAGGCUUAACACAUGCAAGUCGAACGAGUGGCGGAUGGGUGAGUAAUGCUUGGGAAUCUAGCCUAUGGAGGGGGAUAACUACGGGAAACUGUAGCUAAUACCGCGUACCAUAGGUUGAGCCCAAGUGGGAUUAGGUAGUUGGUGUGGUAAAGGCUCACCAAGCCGACGAUCUCUAGCUGGUCUGAGUGGAUGACCAGCCACACUGGGACUGUGAAACGGCCCAGACUCCUACGGGAGGCAGAAGUGGGGAAUAUUGCGCAAUGGGGGCAACCUGACGCAGCCAUGCCGCGUGAAUGAAGAAGGCCUUCGGGUUGUAAAGUUCUUUCGGUAGCGAGGCGUUAACUACAGAAGAAGCACCGGAUAACUCCGUGCCAGCAGCCGCGGUAAUUC